AUUCCAUCGUAAAAAUAAUAAUGAAUAAGGUCUCGUUGUGUCAUCAGCUAUUGGAAUUUAAUUAUAUUUUAAAAAAUAUUAUGUCUUUUGUCUCAUAUAAAUAAUAAAAUACUCAGUACUAUAUAUGAUGUAUAAUAGAAUUUGCUAUCAUUCCCAUCUUCAUUAAAACAAAAAAAAAAAGCCAAAUACAUACUUUGUCACUUAUAAAUAUUUAAAUUUUCUUUUUACAACUAUUAAUAUGUUUUAAAUUCCUGACAUAAUUUAACAAACAUUUUAAUUCUAUUUUUUAAUAAUAUUAAAAUAUUUAAAACCUAAUACAUUAUAAGUCGACGUGUUGGAUAAAGGGAUACAUCAAAAAAAUUUAAAUAUUAUAAAAAAUAUAAGUUAAAAUGCCAAUUAAAUAUUUAAAUAUUUCUUGUUCGGUGGCUGCAACUGGAUCUUUCCAUGAACAACCUCCCAUGAUUGUAACGCUUUGCCGACUGCCAGUAUUGAUCGUGCAACUUUAUCUACCUCCCGAGCCCACCAAAAUUUUUUAGGAGUUCGUCAUUUGGCGGAUGUGGGUAAGGGAGAAGGGAAGCUGCUGGAGGUGCAAGGGAAUGACAGAGGAAGUUGGUUCUUUUCACGUAGACAACCUCACCAGCUUUGUUCCUCCAUAUCUAGAAGAAAAGCGAUGGUUGAGGUAGCGAUAGUGCAUUGAGCUUCCUUUGCCGGUCCGAUUUGCUUAGUGGAUGUGCGUUUUUCAGUCUUAAACCUUUCUUUUCGGUGUGUUCAAAACCCGUGAGUACCCGUGUGAAGUCCAGCCUCCUAUGUUGAUGAAGUUGCUGGGGAAGGAAAGGGAUGUUUCUAGCGACAUGAUUUUAGUGCAGGGACUGUUUGGUAUUUUUUUCAAUAAUUGUAGGCCGUAGAACUGAAUUUAUUUUGCACUUUUAAGCCCAAUUCUUUAAGUAUUACGGACUUUAAACUUAUUUUA